rnacentral:rRNA from 1 species
AUAACUGGUGAAGAAAGGGCCGGGCAAGACCGGUGCCAGCCGCCGCGGUAAUACCGGCGGCUCGAGUGGUGGCCACUAUUACUGGGCUUAAAGCGUCCGUAGCUGGAUUGUUAAGUCUCUUGGGAAAUCCACCGGCUCAACCGAUGGGCGUUCAGGAGAAACUGGCAAUCUAGGGACCGGGAGAGGUGAGAGGUACUCCAGGGGUAGGAGUGAAAUCCUGUAAUCCUUGGGGGACCACCUGUGGCGAAGGCGUCUCACUAGAACGGCUCCGACAGUGAGGGACGAAAGCUGGGGGAGCAAACCGGAUUAGAUACCCGGGUAGUCCCAGCUGUAAACGAUGCGCGUUAGGUGUAUCGGUGACCACGAGUCAUCGAGGUGCCGAAGGGAAACCGUGAAACGU